rnacentral:lncRNA from 1 species
GCGGAGCUGGGGAGCCGAGCCAAGCGGGUGGCUGUUCCUAGGGAAGUCAUUUGUCCAGAUUCUUGGCUUUGAUUCCUCUCCAAGACAGAGUGGCACUCUAAGACCUCUGGCGUCAAGAUGGUCACGACCUGCGCACCCAGGAAGGAAGACGCUGGAGCCAGGGGGGAGAUAAACAGGGUUCUGGAAGGGCCUCCCGACUACAGUAGCGGAUCAGACUCAGGAUCACCCAGUGGUCUAACACAGGCUCAGCCUGGCUCUCUGGGCAUCUGGAAUUCUCCCGAUGAAAUCUGCAAGAAACUGCAGGAGGAAAGUUCGAAACUGCAGAGACCCCAGAGAUGGCACAGGAAGGAGCUGGGUCUGACUGAGGCUACUGCACACCUCAUCUGGUGGCCACUGUGAAUUGUAAUUUGAAAGGAAUCAACCAGAAGCACUUUCUUUCCGUUGCUAGCUGGGGAACUACCCCAGGACCUGCGCAUUAUUCUCUGGAGAGCCCGAGUGGGGUUGCGAUGUUAUGCAAAUCGAGGUACGUUUCCCCUGGGUUCUUGGGGGACUCAGGUGUGUGUACACGUGAAGGUUGCUUGGGCUCAGCUCUGACCUAGAGCUGUGGAAAACUUGGAAAGAGGUAUCUGCCUGCCGCCAGCUCUGUUCAAAGCUGAGCACUGAAGGCCAACCUGUCUUUAGAGAUGUGAACUCUCUCCC